UACAGAGGGUGCAAGCGUUGUUCGGAAUUAUUGGGCGUAAAGAGCUCGUAGGCGGUCUGUUGCGUCGGCUGUGAAAACCCGGGGCUCAACCCCGGGCCUGCAGCCGAUACGGGCGGACUAGAGUUCGGCAGGGGAGACUGGAAUUCCUGGUGUAGCGGUGAAAUGCGCAGAUAUCAGGAGGAACACCGGUGGCGAAGGCGGGUCUCUGGGCCGAUACUGACGCUGAGGAGCGAAAGCGUGGGGAGCGAACAGG
rnacentral:rRNA from 1 species